UACGGAGGGUGCAAGCGUUAUCCGGAUUCACUGGGUUUAAAGGGUGCGUAGGCGGGCAGAUAAGUCAGUGGUGAAAUCCCCGAGCUUAACUUGGGAACUGCCAUUGAUACUAUUUGUCUUGAAUGUCGUGGAGGUUAGCGGAAUAUGUCAUGUAGCGGUGAAAUGCUUAGAUAUGACAUAGAACACCUAUUGCGAAGGCAGCUAACUACGCGGAUAUUGACGCUGAGGCACGAAAGCGUGGGGAUCAAACAGG
rnacentral:rRNA from 1 species